rnacentral:rRNA from 1 species
CAAUAGCGUAUAUUAAAGUUGUUGCGGUUAAAAGCUCGUAGUUGGAUUUCUGCCGAGGACGACCGGUCCGCCCUCUGGGUGCGUAUCUGGCUCGGCCUGGGCAUCUUCUUGGAGAACGUAUCUGCACUUGACUGUGUGGUGCGGUAUCCAGGACUUUUACUUUGAGGAAAUUAGAGUGUUUCAAGCAGGCACACGCCUUGAAUACAUUAGCAUGGAAUAAUAAGAUAGGACCUCGGUUCUAUUUUGUUGGUUUCUAGAGCUGAGGUAAUGAUUAAUAGGGAUAGUUGGGGGCAUUCGUAUUUAACUGUCAGAGGUGAAAUUCUUGGACCUUCGGAAGACUAACAGCUGCGAAAGCGUUUGCCUAGGAUGUUCUCUUUAAUCAAGAACGAAGGUUGGGGGAGUCGAAGAUGAUCAGAUACCGU